rnacentral:rRNA from 1 species
UACGAAGGGGGCCAGCGUUGCUCGGAAUCACUGGGCGUAAAGGGUGCGUAGGCGGGUCUUUAAGUCAGGGGUGAAAUCCUGGAGCUCAACUCCAGAACUGCCUUUGAUACUGAAGAUCUUGAGUUCGGGAGAGGUGAGUGGAACUGCGAGUGUAGAGGUGAAAUUCGUAGAUAUUCGCAAGAACACCAGUGGCGAAGGCGGCUCACUGGCCCGAUACUGACGCUGAGGCACGAAAGCGUGGGGAGCAAACAGG